UGCGGUCUGCGCCUCUCGACAGGAUAUCAAUAUUCCCAGGGGCCAUACUCGAUCUUAAGGGAGCUGUCCCUGUUCCGGCCCGUGGGCUGGGGCACACGGCGCCCACCUACUCUGUAGGCACCCGGGAUCGAACCAUCCACCGGCUGUCGUGGAUCGCGC
rnacentral:other from 1 species